rnacentral:lncRNA from 1 species
AGACGGGUCGAAUCGGGUUGUCAAAGAGGCCCAAACCCAACCCGCUGUGGGAAACUCAAGAGCCAUGAAACUCAUGGGAGUUAUGGGUGACUCUUGAGAUUUUGGCAUUUAUGAGGGCUCAUAAUGUGGGUUCAUUAUGUAUGUGAUAAUGGGUGAGUUAUGUGUGUGGGUGAGUUGAAAAGGCACCUUUAGGCCUAUAAAUAGUGGGGUUGGCUAAGGCCAUGACACACAAGAGAGAGUGUGUUUGUAUGCUGUUUGUAGGUUGUAAUUCUCAUUUCUAAGUAGUGUAGUACUUGGUUUUUUGAGAGAACCUCCGCCUCUUUCUCUUUGUCAUUUCCCUUUGCAUACUUGAAACAGGGAUAACGAUCGGGCCUGGAAGCGCAGGAUGCUGANUUCGAGCAGGAAAGGUGGGCGCCGCACGGGCUUUGCGAACGAAAACGCUAAGUCCGUGACAGUUGGUAUCAGAGCCGGUUCGAGAAGGAACCAUGUCUUUGUCGGAAGCUGUCGUCGUUGACGUUGUGCCCGAGCGGGAGCGAACCGAGGGCGAUCGAGGUGAACCACCAAAGGCGAGCGAGGCCAAAGGUGGAGGAGAGCACCCCGAUCCAGGGGACGCAAAAGGGUGCAAUAAGAGUUCAACUCUGACAGCCCUGCAGCUUUGCGAGGAGGUAAAGCGCGGGAAGGCCGGGGAUCUCGAGGAGGAGGGCCUCAGCAGCGGCGAGACUAUCGAGUCUCAUGCGGCGCUGGAGCGGCCAGCGUCCAAGCAAAGUGCAAGUCAUUCUGCUAAGGAGCCUGCGAGGACCAAAAGGCGUUCUGUAGCUUGGCGGAGUACACGUGUGUGUCGCGGAGGACAUGCACACUCGGGGCGUUCUGCAGCUUGGCAGAGUGCGCGUGCGUGUCGUGGAGGACAUGCACAUCCGGCGAAUUCUUCGCAUAGCAGGCUCGCUGGUGCACUUGCUCAGAGGGGCAAGACACUAGGUGCUGGUGCGGGGACAUGUGCGGACAUUGGGAGCAAAGCACGGGGCCGAUCGCGCGUGAAGGCACGACGGACCGCGCGGAAGGCUAUGCGGACCGGGAGCGACUCGGCGCACGACGAGGGCGUCUGCGCGUUAGGUGGGGGAGAAUGUCACGGACAAAAUAUUUUCCGUUGAUCUCUUCUUGACAAUGGCCCAAAUCUGCUAGCGAGUUCGGGUUGGUAACGGGUCGAAUCAGGUUGUCAAUACCCAAACCCAACCUGCUGUGGGAAACUCAAGAGUUAUGAAACUCAUGGGAAUUAUGAGGUGACUCUUGAGCUUUUGGUUUUUAUGAGGGCUCAUUACUAUGAGAUAGUGGGUGAGUUAAUGUGUGAGUUAGUGUGUGGCUAGGUUCAUUGUAUCUAGGAGCCUAUAAGUAGUGGGGUUUGGCUAAGGUCAAAACACACAAGAGAGAGUGUGUUUGUAUGCUGUUUGUAGGUUGUAAUUCUCAUUUCUAAGUAGUGUAGUACUUAGUUUUUUGAGAGAACCUCUGCCUCUUUCUCUUUGUCAUUUCCCUUUGCAUACUUAGUCGUAGGACGCGAAGGUCCGGGCUAGCAACAGGGACAAAGGCUUGUCCAUCUUCGAGCAGGAAAGGUGGGCGCCGCACGGGCUUUGCAAACGAAAACGCUAAGUCCGUGACACUAGGCACGAGGCGCACGACUCCAGAAGGUGAGGCGUAUGUUAUAUCUAAUAAAAAUAAACACUCUCAACAAGCCCAUUUUAAAUGGAUGUUUUAUGUUAAAAAAUUCUAAAAUAGCUAUACAAAAACAAAAUAACCAUAAAAAAGUAAAGAAAUCGCAUGCAUAAAUGUUCUCAGCCUAAAAAUAAAAAAAUUAUGUUUUAACUUUCAACUUAAAAGUGCUUCCUGCUACUUCUUGCUUCUUGCCGCUGCUACUUAUUGCCAUUGGGGGGUGGAAGAGAGAACAAGCAUAGAAAAGGGAAAGAAGGCGUUCAAAUUAGAAAUUUUUUUAAAAAAAAAUUCUUAACAUUUUAGAAUAUAAUGAAGAAACUCAAAAUCCAAAAACAAAAACCCUAAACACAAUAAACAUAAAUAUCACGAGGCGCGUCUAAGGUGCGCACCUCACUCCCUAAGGCGCUAAGACUCGCACCUCGCUCCUAGGCACUGAGGCGCGCGCUUUCAAACACUAGUGGGAAGUGGCAGAUAGGGAGGAAAUCAUAGGUGCAGGGAUUUGGGUAGGUGGAAUAUAAGCGGAAGAGGAGAGAGCAGAGAUAAUUCAAUCAAGAUUAGAAAUACCAUUUAGCUCCCUUUAAGGGAGACAGGAAUAUUCUUAUAAAAAUAUUUACAUUCACGAAUCACAUCCAAAUAUCAUCUAGCGAAUGGUUCCUCAUAAAGAUCGUUUAAUUCCAUAAUUUGUUAUAUUACAGACCAAAUUGCUAAGACCAAAUAGCCAAAAGGAAAUGCUUGUGCAUCCAUUUCAUUGAUCACUACUUUAAUAUGCUUUUUCCAAAUUACAGGUGAAAGUAGCAAACACUACAAAAUAUCCAAGAAAAAUACAAUUAAAUGUUCUUUUGUGAUGUCAAACUUCUCUCAGAUCUUGAUUUUCAUGGUGUUCUCAUACAAUGUCUACCUAAAGUACAGUUAUAUUCAAAAACUUAAUAGCAUUGAAACAUUAUCUUGGAGCUUAACAAAUAAGAUAACUUUAAACAGGCAAUAAUUAUAUUUUCAACCUGUUUGUAAAAAUUUUGAAAGAACUUCAGUUCUUCCCCAUCAAGAGGUAUUACUAUAGCAUUUAAAUAUUCCCCGAAAGAAAGAAUGUGCGUAAAGUAAGAAUGUAGAAAAGACAAAUGAAACUCAUCUUAUAGCAAAACUAAGUUUUCUUUGUUUCAUGUUUUCAAUUCAGAGUACGACCUUUAUCAAAACAGAGAUGCUUCAUAACAAUAGAACAUGAAAAUCUCUCAAAAAAAAAAAAAAAAAAAAAAAAAAAAAAAAAAAAAAAAAAAAAAAAAAAAAAAAAAAAAAAAAAAAAAACAAUAGAACAUGAAAUAGGGAAUGGCAGUGUUGCAACUCAACAUUUUGAUGGUCAUAGAACAAAUCACAAAUUUUUUUUUCCAACAACUACGCUAUUGUAACAUUUUAUAAAAACCAAACUUCAAUUAAACAAUAUUUAUCAGGGAGAAAUUGGUAAAAUUAGAUCGAAAUUAUUAAUUGAAUCUGGGGCUUUUAUUAAAGAAGACAUGCAUGGAUGCCUAAGUACAGUCGUUCUGAGUUUUGGUUCAAGGUUUGUAAAAUUCCGGGAAUGUUCUGUAUUUAAUAUGUCAAGUUUGUUACAAACUUAUCAAGGCAGUUGGGUUGGAAGAUUGUUAAGAACUAGUAUACUCUUAUUGACUACUAAUGAUUCCCAUUAAGUCUCGAAAUGAGAAUAUCUCCUCACCCAUGAUAAUCUAGUACGACUACCACUUAGGGAUGUACAAUAAUUCCACCACUUCCCUAAUAAUAUCUUUUACAACUACCCAUUUUGAGUUGAAUGGUAAUGAUUUGAAUAUUUUCAAAAGAAAAUAUGGAGGAUUACCGGAACAUUACAAACCGUAAACCAAACAAGACCUUAGGGUGCGUUUGGUUCGAGUUAUCCUGG